rnacentral:rRNA from 1 species
UGCCAGCAGCCGCGGUAAUACGGAGGGGGCGAGCGUUGUUCGGAAUUAUUGGGCGUAAAGGGCGCGUAGGCGGCCUGGUAAGUCAGACGUGAAAUCCCGCGGCUCAACCGCGGAACUGCGCUUGAAACUGCCAGGCUAGAGUAUGGUAGAGGGAAGUGGAAUUUCCGGUGUAGCGGUGAAAUGCGUAGAUAUCGGAAGGAACACCAGUGGCGAAGGCGACUUCCUGGGCCAAUACUGACGCUGAGGUGCGAAAGCGUGGGGAGCAAACAGGAUUAGAUA